rnacentral:tRNA from 1 species
GCCGCGGUAGCUCAAUUGGUAAAGCAUCGCACGUGGAAUGCGAAGGCUGUGGGAUCGUUCCCCACGUGCGGCA